CCAGUAGGAGAAACAUAGAUGGGGGAUAAGUCCUCUUUUCUCUGAUUGGCCAUUUUAGGUCAUGUGCCUGUUCCUGGACCUGUUACAGUUACCAGGGAAUUCUGUGUGCUGAUUGGCUGAAAUAAUCCCUGGAAAGGAAGAUUGGCUACGUGAUUGGCUAAUUGGUACCCAUCAUAAGAAGAGAUGGAACUAGCUCCUGGAGGCCAGGGAUGGUGGAGACAGAGGGGACACCAGCGCCCAGACUGGGUGCCCCAGGAGGGAAGGAGGCAUGGUGGCUGGUGAGGUGUAAGCAUCAGACCCAGAAGCCCCUUCUGGCGGUGCAUUUAUCCUCUAGGUCAUACAUCCUGGAAGCUGGCGGCAGCACAGUCUCCAAUACCGAAGGACAGCACAUGAUUGACGCGUCCAAAAUGGAGGAUUCGUUGCACAGAUGAACUGGCAGCCAUGGAAUCUCAGAAGCGUGAUUGCAGGACGCACUGUUCCAGGGAAUACGAAGUCACAGAGGAAAGGAGGAGGCUGGAUUCCCACCCAACAGCGAGGGCCUGGGAU
rnacentral:lncRNA from 1 species